UGGGGAAUUUUGGACAAUGGGCGAAAGCCUGAUCCAGCAAUGCCGCGUGUGUGAAGAAGGCCCUCGGGUUGUAAAGCACUUUUGUCCGGAAAGAAAUCCUUGGCUCUAAUACAGUCGGGGGAUGACGGUACCGGAAGAAUAAGCACCGGCUAACUACGUGCCAGCAGCCGCGGUAAUACGUAGGGUGCAAGCGUUAAUCGGAAUUACUGGGCGUAAAGCGUGCGCAGGCGGUUUGCUAAGACCGAUGUGAAAUCCCCGGGCUCAACCUGGGAACUGCAUUGGUGACUGGCAGGCUAGAGUAUGGCAGAGGGGGGUAGAAUUCCACGUGUAGCAGUGAAAUGCGUAGAGAUGUGGAGGAAUACCGAUGGCGAAGGCAGCCCCCUGGGCCAAUACUGACGCUCAUGCACGAAAGCGUGGGGAGCAAACAGGAUUAGAUACCCUGGUAGUCCACGCCCUAAACGAUGUCAACUAGUUGUUGGGGAUUCAUUUCCUUAGUAACGUAGCUAACGCGUGAAGUUGACCGCCUGGGGAGUACGGUCGCAAGAUUAAAACUCAAAUGAAUUGACGGGGUCAUAGCUG
rnacentral:rRNA from 1 species